rnacentral:tRNA from 2 species
UGCAUUAGUAGCUUAGUCACAAAGCGCCGGUCUUGUAAUCCGGAGAUCGAAGGUUAAAAUCCUUCCUAACG